GCCGGCAGCUAGAUCUCUACAACUCUCACAUGAUUGCCCACUGAAGCUAAGCAGGGCUGCGCCUGGUCAGUACCUGGAUGGGAGACCACAUGGAAAAGCUAGGUUGCUGCCGGAA
rnacentral:rRNA from 1 species